CGUAGGUAACCUGCCUCUUAGCGGGGGAUAACUAUUGGAAACGAUAGCUAAUACCGCAUAAAAGUCGACAUUGCAUGAUGUUGGCUUGAAAGGUGCAACUGCAUCACUAAGAGAUGGACCUGCGUUGUAUUAGCUAGUUGGUGAGGUAACGGCUCACCAAGGCGACGAUACAUAGCCGACCUGAGAGGGUGAUCGGCCACACUGGGACUGAGACACGGCCCGG
rnacentral:rRNA from 1 species